GAUGAACGCUGGCGGCGUGCCUAAUACAUGCAAGUCGAGCGAACAGACGAGGAGCUUGCUCCUCUGACGUUAGCGGCGGACGGGUGAGUAACACGUGGAUAACCUACCUAUAAGACUGGGAUAACUUCGGGAAACCGGAGCUAAUACCGGAUAAUAUAUUGAACCGCAUGGUUCAAUAGUGAAAGACGGUUUUGCUGUCACUUAUAGAUGGAUCCGCGCCGCAUUAGCUAGUUGGUAAGGUAACGGCUUACCAAGGCAACGAUGCGUAGCCGACCUGAGAGGGUGAUCGGCCACACUGGAACUGAGACACGGUCCAGACUCCUACGGGAGGCAGCAGUAGGGAAUCUUCCGCAAUGGGCGAAAGCCUGACCGAGCAACGCCGCGUGAGUGAUGAAGGCCUUCGGAUCGUAAAGCUCUGUUAUUAGGGAAGAACAAAUGUGUAAGUAACCAUGUGCGUCAUGACGGUACCUAAUCAGAAAGCCACGGCUAACUACGUG
rnacentral:rRNA from 1 species